AAGUCGAGCGGCAAGGGCCUUCGGGCCCCUAGAGCGGCGGACGGGUGAGUAACACGUGGACAAUCUCGCCCCCCGGCCCGGGAUAGCCCAGGGAAACCUGGAUUAAUACCGGAUGAGACGGGACCCGCGAUGGCGGGACCCGGGAAGGCGCUGCGGCGCCGCCGGGGGAUGAGUCUGCGUCCCAUUAGCUAGACGGCGGGUAACGGCCCACCGUGGCGACGAUGGGUAGCCGGCCUGAGAGGGUGGACGGCCACAUUGGAACUGAGACACGGUCCAGACUCCUACGGGAGGCAGCAGCUAAGAAUCUUCCGCAAUGGGCGAAAGCCUGACGGAGCCGACGCCGCGUGAACGAAGAAGGCCGUGAGGUUGUAAAGUUCUUUUCGGGAGGGGGAACAACCGUGGCAGGGAAUGGCCGCGGGAUGACGUGAAUCCCGGAAUAAGCCCCGGCUAACUACGUGCCAGCCGCCGC
rnacentral:rRNA from 1 species